GGGGCAUUAGCUCAGCUGGGAGAGCGUCAGGUUCGCAAUCUGAAGGCCAGGGGUUCGAUCCCCCUAUGCUCCA
rfam:Eubacterium cellulosolvens 6 chromosome, whole genome shotgun sequence.